rnacentral:lncRNA from 1 species
CCCCCUUCUCGCUGAGACAGGCGUGCGUUAACAUUCUGUCCUUGGCCGGGACCCACCCGCAUAAGUACAGCUGUUAGCUGCCCUGAGCAGCAGGAGCUCAAGCGGCCACCUUCAUGGUCACCACACACUUACGAGGUGAACUCAGAUGCAGAUUUAACCUUAAAGAGCUCUGGAAGGAACAUGACAGCAUCCUCUCCUGUGUGGGGUUCACUGAGAAAUCCUGGGCCGGUGUCUCUCUAAGGACACUGAGAUCUGCCUGUGUAUAGGAGAGAGACUGUGAAGGGUGUAGAGGAUCCUGAGCCUUCAUUGACCAACUUGAGUUACAACCAGCCCUCGGGAAAGAAUUGACUUCCUAAAUCAUGGGUCCACUGUGCCUCAAGAGAAAAUCCCCCUCUUAGAUAUGAACUCACAAGAAUCAGGCUUGGAAGACUGAGCAGAAUAACUGUGAUGGAGCAAGCCAAGCUUCAGUGGACAUAAUCAGCAUAGUCCCUUCCUACAGCCAAGACGACCAGGAAUUCCAAGGAUUAAAGAAGUUAUAUAAAUCUACAUUAAGAAUUUAUUUUGUACAAUCCACAUUUUCAAAUGGGCAAAGGACUCGAACAGACAUUUCUCCAGGUAGAUAUUCAC